UACGUAGGGCGCAAGCGUUAUCCGGAAUUAUUGGGCGUAAAGAGCUCGUAGGCGGUCUGUCGCGUCGGCUGUGAAAAACUCGGGGCUCAACCCCCGAGCCUGCAGUCGAUACGGGCAGACUAGAGUGCUGUAGGGGAGACUGGAAUUCCUGGUGUAGCGGUGAAAUGCGCAGAUAUCAGGAGGAACACCGGUGGCGAAGGCGGUUCUCUGGGCCUGUACUGACGCUGAGGAGCGAAAGCGUGGGGAGCGAACAGGA
rnacentral:rRNA from 1 species